UAGUGAAAAAUAUGGAAUGGUGCAGUAUUCUAGUCAAUCCUCCGUUUCUGAAGGCGGGCCUAAAAAUCCGCUAAAGGGCACAUCGAUGAAGUUCCUUGUGUAGGCUUGAAUCGCCCAGAUUUGGGUCUAUGCUGGGAGUUAAGGUUGAAGGGCGAUCCACAAAGGCAUGUGGGCGACGACCCUUCUUCCGUGGAGGCCCAUCUCUGUGUUUCUAACUUAGCCAGGUUAGGAAGACGGAAUGGGGUAUGAACCUGUGUUUAUGGGAGUUAGGGAUUCCUAUGCACAGCGUAGCCUGCCUUGCGUGGUGCGAGGGGGAAUACAGGUAUUAAAUUGUACCCUCAUAGGUGGCCACUAUGGAGUACAAUCUUAUGUAUGAAAUUCGCACUGCAAAAGAGGAUAGGAAGCGGUCAAAGAUUGUUGAGGAAAUCUCCUAGACUGUUCUCAAUGGACAUUUAAAAGGGAUUAUAGUAUGGACUAAGUGGUAAUCCAGUCUAGCAUACGGUGACGUAGCUAAAAUAGGUUUAAAGGGGAACCGCCAUCGUGGCAACACAUGGUACCUAUUUGGGAAAACCUACUGGACCUAAGCCAUAGUUUUUACCUUUUAAAUGACCAUUCCAUAUUACAUGAAU
rnacentral:sRNA from 1 species